AAUUAAUCACGAUAUGUAAGGAGAAAAGGUGUGUAGGGAAGAACUCUGCCGAAGGAUGAUGAUAUGUAUUUGACGCAACCACCUCAACUUCGUCCAUACAAAUCAAAAGAACAUCGAUGUAUGUCUCAACACCUUCAAUUCCCUCAAAAAGUUGCUUCACCGUCCUGUGAAAAACUUCUGGAGCUGAGUUUACCCCAAAUGGGAGUCGGAGGAAUCUGAAGCGGCCAAAAGGAGCAUUGAAUAUGCAAAGGCGAGAGCUGGCUUUAUCUAAUUUGAGUUGCGAAAAACCUGAACUUGCAUCCAACACUGUAAAGUAUUUGGCUUUUGAGAGUCUGCUCGUUAUUUCCUCUACUGUUGGAAGCUGGUAGUGUUCUCUCUUUACGGCUGUGAAUUCCAGUAUGUGUGUUUUCUUUUUUGUAUUUCACUGUCCAGUUACACUUUCCUUUCACAGGUAUUUUGUCUCCGGUGUAAGUUGACAGUUUCACAUUUGUGGGUCUUAGGAUGUUCUUCUUUCCAAUUCUUCGCAGCAGGCUGUAUGGGAUUACAUUGGCUUGCGCACCAGUAUCUAGUUUAAAUUUGACAUGUUUGUGCUCCAAUUUCAAGUCAACUGUCCAUUCAUCUGUCCCUGUCUGCGUUUGCACUGCCCCCACGAACAGACUAGGUCUCUGAUCUGUGACGUCAUCAUCAUCGAACGCAUGCACUUUCUUCGAUUUACACAUCUUUGCAAAGUGGUUUGUUUUAUCACAGUUCUUGCACUGUUUGCCAUAUGCGGGGCAAUUGCGUGAUGCAUGCUCUGUUCCACAUCUUUUGCAAUUAAAAGUGCUUGCUUUGUCUUUUUCAUUCUGUUUGUAUUUAUUUCGUUGCUCGUUUUUGCGUGUCUGCUUAUGUUUCACUGAAUCAACGUGCUUGCUUUCACGUGCAGAGGCGUGUGCGUUGUAAUAUUCGUCAUGCAUUUGCUUCAUCUAAGCUUUUUUCACUUCUGACGCGAAACACAGCUGAGUAGCUUUUUCAAGACUAAUGUCAACUUCUCUUAAAAGUCUCUCUCUCAUUGCCUCUGACGUGAUUCCACAGACAACUCGAUCUCUUAUAAGAGAUUCUUGCAACAGUCCACACGCGCAUGACUUCGCCUUUAGCUUUAGUUCUGUAAUGUAUUGGCUCAUGGGCAUGUCCCCUUGCACACACGUGAAAAACGUAUACCUCUCGUAGGUUAUGUUCUUUUUCGGGUUGCCGUAAUCUUCGAAUUUCUCCAUUGUUUUCGACAGAUUAUGUUUAUCAGCGUCUUCUUCGAAUGUGAAGGUAUUGUACACUUGAACCGCUUCUUCACCGGCUACAUGCAGAAAUAGUGAGGACUUUACCUUGGCUGGUUUGCUAGCGCUUCCCGUCAUGUCUAGAUAAAUCUUUGCUGAAAUCUCCUCCAGUUUUCCAACAAAUUGCUGUGCAGUAGAUCAAGUCCUGCAGGUGGCUUUAGUCCUUCUGACACCUUGUUAUGAUGUGUUUUAAUGAGGAGACACGAGACCUGUUUGUAGGUUUCAGCCAUGUCAUUUUUAUCUGCACUUGACCACGCCCCCAACAUUACAUUUAGCAGGGUGGCAAUAGGUGACUUGUUUAUUACAUAUCAUAACAACGCUGUGCCGGACGUGCCGCUUACUUGUCAUCUGUUACUCCCCAACUCUUUUCUUCCAGCAGAGACGCAAUUGUACCCCUUUUAUUUUAAUAUUGUGAAUUCGUAGUGUACAGAAUUGUGGUCAGCAUUGGUAGUUUAUAAAUAAAAUAGACUUUGACUUAUGCACUAUUGCUUAUGUAAAGGACCUUUGUGUAGACAUGUACAGUAAACACAUAGAAACAGCCGUCUCUCGCCGUUGCUUACCAUAAUGUUCCCUGAACUAAUGGUCCUUUUCCACUGCAUGAUAUCAGCUCAACUACCUAGCCUCGACUCGACUGCUCGCUUCAUGGGGGACAGUUCUUUACUAUUAAAAGAACCGCCGUGUCGUAGAUGGCGCUGUAGCGAAUGUGAAUUGCACGUAAGGCGAGACAAUCGCCGUUUAACAAAGCUAGGAAUCCCACGUUGUAUUAAUGUGAAAACCGGUGUUACGGUUUAAGUGGUGUUCAGAUUAGCUAGUGACAUUUCCAUACGCAACGUAGGCGUGGCACGAGAAUCCUUGGGCAGGAAUGAUCGUGUAGGUGACUGUAUCCAUGCCUGUUGUGCAAACGUAAAUUAAUUAAUUAAAUAGUUCAAAUGUUCAUUUUGACAUUCUUAUUUGUCAUGAUCGCGUUUAAUGUGUUUGUACUUAAGCCUACAUAUAGCCCAUACGGGAAACCGUUUGAGAUGUUUGUUGACGCUCCUGCUCGAACGCAGAGUGGAUACGGUUGUUAGUUGUGGCAGAGUGCAGUGCGAACAAAUUAACUUGUAUUACAACAUCUGCAUCUACCAAUCGCUCAUGUUUCAUAUUCAUAUCAUUUACACCUACCAAAAAAUCCUCUACAAAGGCAACACGUCAGGUCUGGUGUAAUCAACACAAACUGAGUUUACGCGUUAACAUGGUGCACGAAUUCACGUUCAAUAUGCAAUGCAAGUUCUAAGUCAUCUUACAGUUGUAAGGAGGGGCACAUUACUGUGACUGAAGUACACGUCGUUCCUUCGGUCUCCCAAAUGGCCUGCCUCUCUACAGCCGUAGAUCCUAGCAAUGUCUCUGAUUUGAAUGAUUCUGAAUAGUUCUACCUUUUCAGUAUCUUGAUAUCUGAACUUGAGGUGUGUAAGUUCUUUGUUUUUGUUCUUAGCUUAACCGUGUAAAACGUGAUGUUGCUGGUGGGGCAGUGUGCCUCCAGGGACACUGGACACUCAUUGUAAGCAAUCCUAAAUGUUCACCGAUUCAGAUACGACCACGACUACGUCUGGUGUAUGAGAGGAUCAUGCCAUUUGUUGUGGGAUGUGACCAGGAUGCGCAUCUACACCACAACACCCUUUGGAUUGCAGCCCUGGAGGUAUGUGAAUUACAUGUUGAUCUGGUAAUUGCUGCAUUAUAUACUUUGUUUCACCAUAUUUAUUGAUUCACCAACUAUUAUGUUUAUUUUUAGGGUGGAGCAAGCACAGUACUCCUAAGCACCAGUGAGUGUGUGUUCAUUCACUUAACCCAGAUGCUUAACUUAUGUUACUAAAGCAUGUUGCUUUAAAUUUUAUUUGUCAAUUUCUAUUUUAAAGGGCAAGAAGGCAGAGCUUGGCAAAGUUUUAGCU